rnacentral:lncRNA from 1 species
GAGGCUCUAAAGAGCCUGUGUCGCUCACCUUGGUCUAUGUGAAUAUUAAACAAUGGACACAGAUGGAUUCAUGACAAAAUUGUGUUUUGGUGAUGGUGAUGUGUUUGUAGAUCUUACUUUACUAAACAUUCUUGCUGCUUACAAUUAUCUCUAUCUAUAACAGUACUUUCUGUGGAAAAUGUUAUUGAAAAUCUUCAAAUUUUAAGAAAAUUGUUAAAAAUUGACUAUGAAGGGCAAUAACUCCUUAGUGGGUCAAUUGACUAUUUUGGUCAUACUGACUUAUUUUUAGUUCUUACUUUGCUGUACAUUAUUGCUGUUUACAGUUUAUCUCUAUCUAUAAUAAUAUUCAAGAUAAUAACAAAAAAACAGCAAAAUGUCCUCAAAAUUACCAAUUCAGGGGCAGCAACCUAACAACCGAUUGUCCCAUUCAUCUGAAAAUUCCAGGGCAGAUAGAUCAUGACCUGAUCAACAAUUUUACUUCCUCUCAGAUUUGCUCUAAAUGCUUUGGUUUUUGAGUUAUAAGCCAAAAACUGCAUUUCACCCCCAUGUUCUAUUUUUAGCCAUGGCGGCCAUCUUGGUUUGUUGGCCGAGUUACCGGACACAUUUUUUUAACUAGAUACCCCAAUGAUGAUUAUGGCUAAGUUUGGUUAAAUUUGGCCCAGUAGUUUCAGAGGAGAAGAUUUUUU